rnacentral:rRNA from 1 species
UGGGGAAUAUUGCACAAUGGGCGCAAGCCUGAUGCAGCCAUGCCGCGUGUAUGAAGAAGGCCUUCGGGUUGUAAAGUACUUUCAGCGGGGAGGAAGGCGAUAAGGUUAAUAACCUUGUCGAUUGACGUUACCCGCAGAAGAAGCACCGGCUAACUCCGUGCCAGCAGCCGCGGUAAUACGGAGGGGGCAAGCGUUAAUCGGAAUGACUGGGCGUAAAGCGCACGCAGGCGGUCUGUCAAGUCGGAUGUGAAAUCCCCGGGCUCAACCUGGGAACUGCAUUCGAAACUGGCAGGCUAGAGUCUUGUAGAGGGGGGUAGAAUUCCAGGUGUAGCGGUGAAAUGCGUAGAGAUCUGGAGGAAUACCGGUGGCGAAGGCGGCCCCCUGGACAAAGACUGACGCUCAGGUGCGAAAGCGUGGGGAGCAAACA